GACGAACGCUGACGGCGUGCUUAACACAUGCAAGUCGAAGGGAGUGGCGAACGGGUGAGUAACACGUGAGUAACCUGCCCUUUUCUUUGGGAUAAGCCUGGGAAAAUGGGUCUUAUACUGGAUGGAUUGGGAUGGGCUCGCGGCUUAUCAGCUGGUUGGUGGGGUGAUGGCUUACCAAGGCUUGGACGGGUGGCCGGCCUGAGAGGGUGGUCGGUCAGACUGGGACUGCGAUACGGCCCAGACUCCUAGGGGAGGCAGCAGGGGUGAUAGUGCACAAUGGACGAAAGUCUGAUGCAGCGACGGCGUGUGGGGGAUGAAGGCCUUCGGGUUGUAAACUCCUUUCGUCAGCGGAAUGGUAGUGGGUAAAGAAGCGCCGGCUAACUACGUGCCAGCAGCCGCGGUAAUUC
rnacentral:rRNA from 1 species